GACGAACGCUGGCGGCGUGCUUAACACAUGCAAGUCGAACGGAAAGGCCCUGCUUUUGUGGGGUGCUCGAGUGGCGAACGGGUGAGUAACAAGUGAGUAACCUGCCCUUGACUUUGGGAUAACUUCAGGAAACUGGGGCUAAUACCGGAUAGGUGCUCCUGAUGCAUGGUGGGGGUUGGAAAGUUUCGGCGGUUGGGGAUGGACUCGCGGCUUAUCAGCUUGUUGGUGGGGUAGUGGCCUACCAAGGCUUUGACGGGUAGCCGGCCUGAGAGGGCGACCGGCCACAUUGGGACUGAGAUACGGCCCAGACUCCUACGGGAGGCAGCAGUGGGGAAUAUUGCACAAUGGGCGGAAGCCUGAUGCAGCAACGCCGCGUGCGGGAUGACGGCCUUCGGGUUGUAAACCGCUUUCGCCUGUGACGAAGCGUGAGUGACGGUAAUUGGUAAAGAAGCACCGGCUAACUACGUG
rnacentral:rRNA from 1 species